UGCCAGAAGAUUUCCACCGCUGCUGUCAUCCAGAUCUGUUCGCAUUUGCUUACAACUUUUGAUAAAAAGGAUCUCUGCUCAGAAGGAAAAGAAUACCAACACUUGAAUAAAGAAAAAUGACCUUGAGCAUUUUUAGUGACAUUGCAAAGCAAUGCAGAGAUCAUGGUUUAAAGCACUGUGGCAAGUAUUCCAUUCCUGUUCUAACUUCUAAGCUUGCAAGGACACAAGCAGCAGUUGCCAUUCAAUUCGUUUCUCCUUCUCCGAUUCACACAGCAGCGGUAGUUGUUCGUUUCUCCUUCAUUAGCUAAAAGGAGCAGAUCAGAAGGGGAAAUCAAAAUAUUCCCAGUGGAGGAACUAUGAUGAUAUAAAUGAAUACUUUUUUAUGUGAAGUACGAAGAGGAGAGAGAGAGAAAGUGAACUUGUUUUAUUCAAUGUGUCAACAGAAGCCAGGAGAAAGCAUUUGUACAAAAGGAAUUGGAGGUAAAAGGCGGUUACAACUAAU